rnacentral:rRNA from 1 species
CCCGGUGAUCUAGCCAUGGGCAGGUUGAAGGUUGGGUAACACUAACUGGAGGACCGAACCGACUAAUGUUGAAAAAUUAGCGGAUGACUUGUGGCUGGGGGUGAAAGGCCAAUCAAACCGGGAGAUAGCUGGUUCUCCCCGAAAGCUAUUUAGGUAGCGCCUCGUGAAUUCAUCUCCGGGGGUAGAGCACUGUUUCGGCAAGGGGGUCAUCCCGACUUACCAACCCGAUGCAAACUGCGAAUACCGGAGAAUGUUAUCACGGGAGACACACGGCGGGUGCUAACGUCCGUCGUGAAGAGGGAAACAACCCAGACCGCCAGCUAAGGUCCCAAAGUCAUGGUUAAGUGGGAAACGAUGUGGGAAGGCCCAGACAGCCAGGAUGUUGGCUUAGAAGCAGCCAUCAUUUAAAGAAAGCGUAAUAGCUCACUGGUCGAGUCGGCCUGCGCGGAAGAUGUAACGGGGCUAAACCAUGCACCGAAGCUGCGGCAGCGACACUAUGUGUUGUUGGGUAGGGGAGCGUUCUGUAAGCCUGUGAAGGUGGCCUGUGAGGGUUGCUGGAGGUAUCAGAAGUGCGAAUGCUGACAUAAGUAACGAUAAAGCGGGUGAAAAGCCCGCUCGCCGGAAGACCAAGGGUUCCUGUCCAACGUUAAUCGGGGCAGGGUGAGUCGACCCCUAAGGCGAGGCCGAAAGGCGUAGUCGAUGGGAAACAGGUUAAUAUUCCUGUACUUGGUGUUACUGCGAAGGGGGGACGGAGAAGGCUAUGUUGGCCGGGCGACGGUUGUCCCGGUUUAAGCGUGUAGGCUGGUUUUCCAGGCAAAUCCGGAAAAUCAAGGCUGAGGCGUGAUGACGAGGCACUACGGUGCUGAAGCGACAAAUGCCCUGCUUCCAGGAAAAGCCUCUAAGCAUCAGGUAACAUCAAAUCGUACCCCAAACCGACACAGGUGGUCAGGUAGAGAAUACCAAGGCGCUUGAGAGAACUCGGGUGAAGGAACUAGGCAAAAUGGUGCCGUAACUUCGGGAGAAGGCACGCUGAUAUGUAGGUGAAGCGACUUGCUCGUGGAGCUGAAAUCAGUCGAAGAUACCAGCUGGCUGCAACUGUUUAUUAAAAACACAGCACUGUGCAAACACGAAAGUGGACGUAUACGGUGUGACGCCUGCCCGGUGCCGGAAGGUUAAUUGAUGGGGUUAGCGGUAACGCGAAGCUCUUGAUCGAAGCCCCGGUAAACGGCGGCCGUAACUAUAACGGUCCUAAGGUAGCGAAAUUCCUUGUCGGGUAAGUUCCGACCUGCACGAAUGGCGUAAUGAUGGCCAGGCUGUCUCCACCCGAGACUCAGUGAAAUUGAACUCGCUGUGAAGAUGCAGUGUACCCGCGGCAAGACGGAAAGACCCCGUGAACCUUUACUAUAGCUUGACACUGAACAUUGAGCCUUGAUGUGUAGGAUAGGUGGGAGGCUUUGAAGUGUGGACGCCAGUCUGCAUGGAGCCGACCUUGAAAUACCACCCUUUAAUGUUUGAUGUUCUAACGUGGGCCCCUUACCGGGGUUGCGGACAGUGUCUGGUGGGUAGUUUGACUGGGGCGGUCUCCUCCUAAAGAGUAACGGAGGAGCACGAAGGUUGGCUAAUCCUGGUCGGACAUCAGGAGGUUAGUGCAAUGGCAUAAGCCAGCUUGACUGCGAGCGUGACGGCGCGAGCAGGUGCGAAAGCAGGUCAUAGUGAUCCGGUGGUUCUGAAUGGAAGGGCCAUCGCUCAACGGAUAAAAGGUACUCCGGGGAUAACAGGCUGAUACCGCCCAAGAGUUCAUAUCGACGGCGGUGUUUGGCACCUCGAUGUCGGCUCAUCACAUCCUGGGGCUGAAGUAGGUCCCAAGGGUAUGGCUGUUCGCCAUUUAAAGUGGUACGCGAGCUGGGUUUAGAACGUCGUGAGACAGUUCGGUCCCUAUCUGCCGUGGGCGCUGGAGAACUGAGGGGGGCUGCUCCUAGUACGAGAGGACCGGAGUGGACGCAUCACUGGUGUUCGGGUUGUCAUGCCAAUGGCACUGCCCGGUAGCUAAAUGCGGAAGAGAUAAGUGCUGAAAGCAUCUAAGCACGAAACUUGCCCCGAGAUGAGUUCUCCCUGACUCCUUGAGAGUCCUGAAGGAACGUUGAAGACGACGACGUUGAUAGGCCGGGUGUGUAAGCGCAGCGAUGCGUUGAGCUAACCGGUACUAAUGAACCGUGAGGCUUAACC